rnacentral:rRNA from 1 species
CUUGAGUGCAGUUGAGGCAGGCGGAAUUCGUGGUGUAGCGGUGAAAUGCUUAGAUAUCACGAAGAACUCCGAUUGCGAAGGCAGCCUGCUAAGCUGCAACUGACAUUGAGGCUCGAAAGUGUGGGUAUCAAACAGGAUUAGAUACCCUGGUAGUCCACACGGUAAACGAUGAAUACUCGCUGUUUGCGAUAUACUGCAAGCGGCCAAGCGAAAGCGUUAAGUAUUCCACCUGGGGAGUACGCCGGCAACGGUGAAACUCAAAGGAAUUGACGGGGGCCCGCACAAGCGGAGGAACAUGUGGUUUAAUUCGAUGAUACGCGAGGAACCUUACCCGGGCUUAAAUUGCAGAUGAAUUACGGUGAAAGCCGUAAGCCGCAAGGCAUCUGUGAAGGUGCUGCAUGGUUGUCGUCAGCUCGUGCCGUGAGGUGUCGGCUUAAGUGCCAUAACGAGCGCAACCCUUGUUGUCAGUUACUAACAGGUUCCGCUGAGGACUCUGACAAGACUGCCAUCGUAAGAUGUGAGGAAGGUGGGGAUGACGUCAAAUCAGCACGGCCCUUACGUCCGGGGCUACACACGUGUUACAAUGGGGGGUACAGAGGGCCGCUACCACGCGAGUGGAUGCCAAUCCCCAAAACCUCUCUCAGUUCGGACUGGAGUCUGCAACCCGACUCCACGAAGCUGGAUUCGCUAGUAAUCGCGCAUCAGCCACGGCGCGGUGAAUACGUUCCCGGGCCUUGUACACACCGCCCGUCAAGCCAUGGGAGCCGGGGGUACAGGAAGUGCGUAACCGCGAGGAGCGCCCUAGGGUAAAC